GAGGGUGCAGCUCAGUGGUAGAGCACAUGCUUACCAUGCACGAGGCCCUGGGUUCAAUCUUCAGCACCGCCA
rnacentral:tRNA from 1 species